CUAAGAGACACUAUAAAGUUCAACCUGAACACAAGUUUAACCUGAACACAGUUCAACAAGCUGAAGAAUGAAGACACUGCUGCUGUCUCUGCUCUGUCUGUGUGUGUGGAGUCAGUCCACAGAAGCUUUAACUGAUCAGCAGGUGCUUUUAGGACACAAUGUGACUUUAGCCUGUGAGUUUAAAUGUAAAGCCGCUAUAUGGUUUUUGAUUAAACUGCCAGCUCGUCCAAUGAUGAUAAUGCGAACAUUCGGAUCUGAAGAGACUGAUUAUUAUGAUGAAAAAUUCCGCAACAAAUAUUUAGAGGGAAACAGGAGCGAAAUAAUAAUCAAUAAUGUCAGUGUUGAUGAUUUGGGAAUUUAUUACUGUAUAAAAGCAGGCUGGGCUUUAAAGAUCAGUGACGGUAUCAGACUGCACACCGCUGAAGUCUGACAUGAACUUCAGUGAGUAUGACUGAGGAAUAACAUCCAUUAAGACCAGCAGCACUGACAGAUCCUGAACAUCUACAAGUUCAGCCAAACUCUGUGUACAAAAAAC